rnacentral:rRNA from 1 species
UACGGAGGGUGCAAGCGUUAUCCGGAUUUACUGGGUUUAAAGGGUGCGUAGGUGGGCAGGUAAGUCAGUGGUGAAAUCUUCAAGCUUAACUUGGAAACUGCCAUUGAUACUAUUUGUCUUGAAUUAUCUGGAGGUAAGCGGAAUAUGUCAUGUAGCGGUGAAAUGCUUAGAUAUGACAUAGAACACCCAUUGCGAAGGCAGCUUACUGCGGAUAUAUUGACACUGAGGCACGAAAGCGUGGGGAUCAAACAGG